CUAAUGACAUACCGGCAGAUGGUGCUGUCUCCCAGAGCUGCUAGGCUGGAGGCAUAGUGAAAUCAUUGUUUUUUAGCUGCUAUAAUGGAAGCAUAUCCCAGAGGAAGCCUGAAACUAUUCAUCAAGUGUUGACUACUUGUGAUGUGAGCCACUCACUGGCAGGUGCGUGAGCUGGAAUUAGAACUGGAGGCUGAGCAGAAAAGAGGAGCUGAUGCCAUGAAAGGAGUCUGAAAAUAUGAGCAGGGAGUCAAGAAGCUCACCUACCAGACCGAAGAGGUCAAGAAGACUGUCCAAAGGCUGCAGAACCUGGUGGACAAGCUGCAGUUGAAAGUGAAGGCCUACAAACGUCAGGCUGAGGAAGCUGGAGAACAGGCCAACACCAACCUGACUAAGUGCAGAAAGAUGUAGCAUGACCUGGAGGAGGCAGAGGAGAGGGCUGACGUCGCAGAGUCCCAGCUCAACAAGAUUAGAGCCAAGAGCAGGGAUGCCGGGAAUGUACGAUACGAUGCAAAAACAUAUGUAUUCAUAUAUUUCAGUACCACAUUGAUUGAUUGAUGUGUGUAUUAUUUGCCAAAAAAAAGGAAAAUAAAAACAACAUUUGUAUUACAUAUUUUUUAUGUUAUG